rnacentral:lncRNA from 1 species
GUGGGCAUCACCUUCCAGGAGUGUCCAUGUGCUCAGUGGCCUGUCCUUGGGGUUUUCCGGAGACCUUAGUGCACGGGCAGCAUUGCUGUAGGCUGGGUGGGGACCCCAGCACUGUGUGUUCUGCCCUCCUGUUGAUGUCUCUGGGAUGCACUCCUCCAGAUACCCUCUGGAACGAGAAGGCUCUUGUGUUCUGCUACCUAUCAAGGGUAAGUUAGGAUUUCUAUAUAGUUUCUAUGACUUGCCUUGGGGAAGAAAUUCUAGUUUCUGUAGCCCACUUUGGAGUGCAAAUUAUGAUCCAGUAACUGUAUAUGGAAAGCAAAAACUAUGAAUCACAAUAAUACAACCUCAGAGUAGAUUGGUUGGAUCCUGUGGUCAUUCUAAGUUCAACCUUCGGAGGAACUUUGAAACUGUCUUCCACAGGGGCUCCACCAUUUCCCAUCCCCACCAGCCCUGUGUGAAGGUUCUGACGUCUCCCUGUCCUUGUCCUUGCCAACACACUAGUCAUUGUGGUUUUUUUUCUUUUUUCUUUUUUCGCGGUGCUGGGGAUGGUACCCAGGACCUUGUGCAUGCUGGGUGAGCGCUCCACCACGGAACCACACCCCAGCCCCUUGUCUUUCUUUUUGAUUCUUGCCAUUCUCCUGGGUGUGAAGUGUAAACUGGUCAUGGUUUUGGUUUCCUUUCCCCCUUGACCACUGGGGUUGAGCAUUUUUUCAUGAGCUGAUUGAUCAUUCGUAUAGCUUCCUUGGUGAGUUAUUUGUUCAGGUCCUUUGCUCAUUUUUAAUUGAGUAGGCCUUGUUCAUUAGUCUAGACAUUCUUAUAUCUUCUAGACAUCAAUCUGUUAUCAGAGAUAUCAUUUGCAAAAAUUUCCUGCUAUUCUGUGAGUUGUCUUCACUCUCUUGAUAAGAUCCUUUAGUGCACAGCAGAUUCUGAUUUUGACCAAGUUCAAUAUCUGUUUUUUUCUUGUGUUGCUUGUGCUUUGAUGUCAUACCUACUCUAAGGUCAUGAAGAUUUAUGCCUGUGUUUUUGUGAUGCUCAAUUUUAUGUAUCAGAAUUUUAGGUAUUGCCAUGAUAUCCAGAUAUUUAGUCAAUACUAUUCUAGAUGGUUCUGUGAAAAUAUUUUUUUAGGUGAUAUUAGCACUUAAGUUAGCAGAAAUUGAGUAAAGCAUAUUACCCUCCAUGAUGUGGGGGGGCCAUGUAUAAUUUUUGUCAUUUAUUCUGUUGAUACACAGCUUGUUGUGUUCAUUGAUUUUCAGGGGUUAAACCAGCCUUAUAUUCCUGGGAUAAGUGCUUGUAGUCGUGGCGUUGUGACUGGACACAUACGUGCAGGAUUCAGUUUGCUAGCAUUUGGCUGAGGAUUUUUGUAUGUAUAUUCACAAGCAUUAUUGGUCUGUCUUUUCCUUUCUUGUGAAGCCUUUGCUUAAUUUUGAUAUCAGGGUAACACAGUUCUCUUUCUGGCAUCCUCUCUCCAUGUCGACAAGAUAUUUCAAUUCUGGGAGUUUCCUAACCUUCUCUGGGAUCACAUGGAGAGAGAGGAGGCUCGGCAAUUGGAGUAUCUGGGUUUGAGUCUCUUCUGGAAACACUCAUGGCCCAGGUUCUUUGGCCCCGAGGUGGGACCAUCAUGGCACCUGAUGAACAGGGGCAUGGUGAGGAUGGGUGAGGAGUGUGAAUGCCUCGCACCACUCGGGCACGAUUCCUGCUGGCCACAGUGGCCGCUGUUGUGUUGUUGCCCUUCCCGUCACAGCUGGGAGCCAUGGUGAAGAGGUGCUGGAGUCCAGCUCUCUGUCCCGCCCUGGGAAUGGUCCUGUGUGCCAAGAACAUGGCGCCGUGUCCUCUGUACUCCUCCGGGAUGCUGUCAGCUGGGGCUCCGCAAGAAAGACGUGACUAACUUUCCAGCCAGACUAGAGCUCUGGGUUCCAGUAGUCACAGCUGGUAGUAUCUCAAAACCCUUGACAGGCCACUGCAGGCAGCAGGCCCUAAGGUCUAGCCAGGGUUUUGUUCCUGUAGCUCCAGGUUUAAGUCUCAGCCAAGGCUGUGUCAGGCUCGAGUUCCCCUGGGGGUCAGGCAAGGCCCUCUGGAGCGCAGUCCUGGUUUCCUCCCCUGACAGGCCCCUGCUGAUGUCCCUGAGCCUGUGGAGGGCUCAGCCCCCAAGCCUCGCCCUUCUUUGCCGGGGCCAACUAGCACAGGGACGCAGGAGGUUUUUCUCCUCACUAGCGCCCUCUAGGCCUGGGCUUGGGGAGGGCAGGAGACCUGGCUUGGGGCCAGACAAAUAAGGCCACUUUGUUGAGGCUGUCACUAAUUCAUUGCCAACACUUGACAAGGGGACAGGAAUUCCAUAUGGUUCUGAUCCAAGGAGUUUUAGCAGGGAGAUCUUUGCAGUCACCCAGUCGCAGAUUCUGGAAGUGCUGCUAGAGAACAAGGCAGGACCUGGAAGGGCUUGGACCUCACAGACCAGUUUACUUUUUUUUUUUUUUCCUUUCUUCUGGUAGUGAGCCAGGCAGAUGCUCUACCACUGAGCCAUGCCUGAUUAUCACAGACCUUUUUUUUUUAAAGAAAGGACUUCCUUAGGAUUGCUAGUGUCUAAUUUUGUUUAAUACAUCCUUUUAAAGAAAAGGAGGAUACAAACAUUUUCUUUGGGUAUUCCCCAGGGAUAUUAUACCACUAAGCUACACCCCCAGCCCUUUUUAUUUUGAAACAGA